CAGAUGUGGAAACUGAUACUAGAAGCACCAGGUUCUGAUGUCACAGUCUGAUACUCAUUACAAGCUGAAAUUCAUCACCUUCCAACCCGGUGACAUACCACAAUAUGAUCUGCUGAAAGGGAAAAUCUUAAGGAGAUGAGGCAUGGCUUAAAAACCUUUCUGGCCGUAUGCAUCUCCUGCCUCAGCCAAGUGGGGGUGACAGAAGGAGAUACCAUCACAUAACAGGCUGUAAGUAAUGUGCAACUGGGAGAACCAUGUGUGAG
rnacentral:lncRNA from 1 species